rnacentral:rRNA from 1 species
AGUGAACGCUGGCGGUAGGCCUAACACAUGCAAGUCGAACGGCAGCACAGUAAGAGCUUGCUCUUACGGGUGGCGAGUGGCGGACGGGUGAGGAAUACAUCGGAAUCUACUUUUUCGUGGGGGAUAACGUAGGGAAACUUACGCUAAUACCGCAUACGACCUACGGGUGAAAGCAGGGGAUCUUCGGACCUUGCGCGAUUGAAUGAGCCGAUGUCGGAUUAGCUAGUUGGCGGGGUAAAGGCCCACCAAGGCGACGAUCCGCAGCUGGUCUGAGAGGAUGAUCGGCCACACUGGAGCUGGGACGCGGUCCAGACUCCUGCGGGAGGCAGCAGUGGGGAAUGUUAGACAGUGGGCGCAAGCCUGGUCCAGCCAUACCGCGUGGGUGAAAGAGGCCUUCGGGUUGUAAAGCCCUUUUGUUGGGAAAGAAAAGCAGCAGGUUAAUACCCCGCUGUUCUGACGGUACCCAAAGAAUAAGCACCGGCUAACUUCGUG